UAGUGGUUGAAGCUUCCGGCUGCCCUGAUGUGGAAGAAAAGACCAAGAUUAUCAUCUUGAAUGUUUGCUGCGAUGCUAACCGAACCGUGAAUCCAUUGGUUUCUAUCAAAGUUUCUUGGGUUAUCAACCCUCCACAGACCCACCGUAUGUGGAGGGAUGCGAUAUGGGUUUAUAGGGGUACCAAGGAGAUCAGCAUGUUGGAACAAGAUCAGUCAUUCGCCAGCUGUCAGAUUGUUGUCAACAAAGUGCGCAAUGACUGCUUGAACCUCUUGAGGAAGUGCUAUGUCUUUUUUUUGUCACAAGCAGUCAUUGCGCACUCUGUUGAUCGAAAUCCAAAAUACCCGAUCCGAACGCCAACAGGUACCCGAACGCCCAGACCUAAUUAGAAUGAUCUCUUUUGGGUUAUUACGUCCAAGAACUUAUCUUGUUUUUUUUUAACUUUAAAAGCAACAAUUUUAGUAGUUUAAUGUGUUUAAGAAACAUUAUGAGAGAUUAGUUACGCAAUAAAUUAGUUCUUUUUUGUUUGUUUGUUUGUUUUGUUAAGAUAAGAUAUCAAUGUGGGUAGAAUGAUCUCUUUUGGUCUAUUCCGUCCAAGAACUUGUCUUGUUUUUCUAACUUUAAAAGCAACAAUUUUAGUAGUUUAAGUAACCUUUUAGACAGAUUGAUUCACAUCUCUUAUAACUUUUUUGUAUUAUGAUGUGUGUCUGACCCAUUGUUGUCACUAGAUAACAGGCUGACCUUCGGUGAUCAUUUCCCUGGUGUAGUGAAUCCCUUAGAUGGGUAAAACCUCUCUUCUUGUAAAAUCAUUAUAUCUUUCUGAAACUCUUUAUUCUUGGUUACUUAGUGUGAAGUGGACUCAAGAGGCAUUGAAUGGCAUGUAUCAAUAUUUUAUCAAGAUGUUAAAGGCCAUGUUAUUCAGUCAAACCAGGUUGGGACUUGGCAGUUCUCUGUGGCUGAGCAUUUCGAGAAACAGAAGCAGGACGCACACAAUUACUGCCUGGUGUUUUCUUUUUCUAUGAUCUUUCUCCAAUUAAGGUAUCUCAGAAUCAGACACUGUUGUGUGUGAAUACUUGUAUGCAUGUGUUACUAGUUUAUCCUCAUUUCUAACAAUUUACUUUUUGCGUGUUGGUGCAAGUGAUUUUCACAGAGCAGCAAGUGGAGUUCUUGCACUUCCUCAGUAAUGUUUGCGCUAUAUAUAGUAGGAGGUGUGACUGAUCUCUCUCUCUCUCUCUCUCUCUCUCUCUCUCUCUCUUGCAAUCAAUGUACAUUCUUUGCAAAUGUAACAUAGAAUGUGUUCAGAGCUUUGCCUCCUUUGGUUUUCACUUCAGCUCUCGUAACCGUUAGACUAUUCUCACGGAAAAUCCUAGUCACGUUUGACAACAAGCAUACUCUAUCUUUAGUGCACAGUUCCAACUUCAAUCCCUAUGAGGAGAAGAAGAAACUCAUCUUCAGUUACAGUUACUAAAAAGAGUAGACUACUAUGUAUUACUUUUGCUUCGCUGUCUCUGAUUUUACAGGGGAACCAUCUAUAUGUCUCACAUAAUACUCCUGAAAAUCGAAAAAAAAACCAAUAAGAGAAUGGAUUCAGGGUAGAUUUUUCUUGUUCUAGUGUGGUGAGAUUUUUACCUGAUAUGCCUCUGUGCCUUCAGUAUCAACACUUCCAUGGAAAACCACAUACUGCAUAUCUGUCAAAGUACAGACAGUAUCAAACAGAAGCUUUGGUCUGUCUUUACAUCUAACUGUAAACACAGAGUAAUCCUUAUCAAGCCAAUUAUCAACACAAACAUCUGGUCUCUGCCUUUCAUCUUGCACAGAGGAGGAAUCAUCGUCCACCACCACACAGUGCUUGUACACUACAAACAUCUGGUCUCUGCCUUUCAUCUUGCACAGAGGAGGAAUCAUCGUCCACCACCACACAGUGCUUGUACACUACAAGAAAACAUAAGUUUAACGACGGCGGUAUUCUUCGUGAGUUCGUCGUAAAAGAAGCUUUACGAAGAAUUAGCGAAGAAACACUUUUCGUCGUUACUCGUUCGUCGUAAUGCAUAUUUCCUCGCCAAUUCGUCGUAACUUAGCGAGAAAAACAUUUCGUCCUAAACACAGAAGUACCAUAUUGCUGACAUAUUAUAUGCGCAACUACGUGUUAACGAAUUUGACUAGUUAAUAACGAGACACGAUGUGCAACUAUAUAUAUUUUGAUUUGGACAGCAAGGAACUCAAUUAUAUCUUCCUGCAAUUCAUGCAACAGAAAAACGGACAGAUCGAUUAAUAGCAUUAACAUAUAUGAUAGCGAUGCACACGCGGGCAAACGCAAACUCACGUUUCUAUAUUCUACGUCUAAAAAUAUCACAACUAUUUAGAGCGAGGAAUGGAUGCUGUUGGAUUUCCAUAAUGACUGUUUCACGUAUUUUAUUUUAUAAUGAAAAAAAGAAGAAGCUAUUCAUUACGUAAUUGAUGGUAGCAUGGAAUCCCUGGUCUUAUGACUUAUUCGCGAGGCACACCAUGUUACUAAUUUAAAAUUUCAAGGCAUCUUAUAUUUUAUGUCAACUAUAUAUUCGCUCAAGAAAAUUACACAGGUUAUUUAUUUUUGAAAAAAUAAGAACUUAAGUCUUCCCCCUGACCAGAGAAAUUAUUGGGUUGACCUCUUCACCAUCUAAUAGUGUUUGAGUAUUUGAUAUUUGAUAUCUUUUAAAAAAGGAAAUAAAAUUGAAUAUCCAAAUUAAAUUAUAUUUUUAAAAUAAAAUAAUAAAAAUACAUAAAAAU